rnacentral:rRNA from 1 species
AUUAAAUAGCUGCAGUAUAUAUAACUGUACAAAGGUAGCAUAAUCAUUAGUUUAUUAAUUAUAAACUGGUAUGAACGAUUUAAUGAAAUAAAAACUGUUUCAAAUUAAUAAAAUAAAUUUUUUUUUUAAGUAAAAAAACUUAAAUAAAAUUAAAAGACGAGAAGACCCUUUAGAAUUUUAUAUUUAAUUGGGGAGAUUUUAAAAUUUAAUGAACUUUUAAUUAAAUAAACAAUAAUUUUUGAAUAAAAUAUAUUUUUUUAAAAAAAUUAAACUAAAUUACCUAAGGGAUAACAGCAUAA